GUAUACGGAACCGUACCCAGUCGUGGGGGGGUAACUAUCCGAAAGGAUAGCUAAUACCGCAUACGUCCUGAGGGAGAAAGCGGGGGAUCGCAAGACCUCGCGCGAUUGGAGCGGCCGAUAUCGGAUUAGCUAGUUGGUGAGGUAAAGGCUCACCAAGGCGACGAUCCGUAGCUGGUCUGAGAGGACGACCAGCCACACUGGAACUGAGACACGGUCCAGACUCCUACGGGAGGCAGCAGUAGGGAAUAUUGGACAAUGGGCGGAAGCCUGAUCCAGCCAUCCCGCGUGUAGGAAUAAGGCCCUAUGGGUUGUAAACUACUUUUAUUAGGGAAGAAAAACUUUGAUUUAUCAGAGCUUGACGGUACCUAAGGAAUAAGCACCGGCUAACUCCGUG
rnacentral:rRNA from 1 species